rnacentral:rRNA from 1 species
GAUGAACGCUGGCGGCAGGCCUAACACAUGCAAGUCGAACGGUAGCACAGAGAGCUUGCUCUCGGGUGACGAGUGGCGGACGGGUGAGUAAUGUCUGGGAAACUGCCUGAUGGAGGGGGAUAACUACUGGAAACGGUAGCUAAUACCGCAUAAUGUCGCAAGACCAAAGAGGGGGACCUUCGGGCCUCUUGCCAUCAGAUGUGCCCAGAUGGGAUUAGCUAGUAGGUGGGGUAACGGCUCACCUAGGCAACGAUCCCUAGCUGGUCUGAGAGGAUGACCAGCCACACUGGAACUGAGACACGGUCCAGACUCCUACGGGAGGCAGCAGUGGGGAAUAUUGCACAAUGGGCGCAAGCCUGAUGCAGCCAUGCCGCGUGUAUGAAGAAGGCCUUCGGGUUGUAAAGUACUUUCAGCGGGGAGGAAGGCAUUAAGGUUAAUAACCUUAGUGAUUGACGUUACCCGCAGAAGAAGCACCGGCUAACUCCGUGCCAGCCGCCGCCGUAAUAC